rnacentral:tRNA from 2 species
GAUACGAUGGCCGAGUGGUUAAGGCGAAGGAUGCAGGUUCCUUUGGGCAUUGCCCGCGCAGGUUCGAACCCUGCUCGUGUCGCCA